rnacentral:lncRNA from 1 species
GGAAAGAGCAAAGUACAGCUGGAGCCAGGUAGGUGCAGCCAUGAUCCCAGAACUGGGGCAGUGGUGUGCAGUGGAACGGGGCCUUUUUGCACUGUAGCACCUCUUGUGGAUCAAAGGUACCUUCAAGGUAUCACAUGUGGCACGCCCUGAGCUGACUCAGCCAUCCGUGCCAGGGCAGGGAUUUUGGGCAUUGCUUGAAGUCAAAGCUGACUGCAGGACCUGACCUGCCCAGCCCAGCCCUUGUGAACGGCCUCUGGUGUUCAGAUUGUGAGAUGGGAAGGAUCCACACUGAGGAUUUGAAGCCUUUUGCAAUUCAAGAUUUGUGUUUUUCAGGACUGGGUCCCAGCUGAGUCACUGUUGCUGACUGGGUCAGCGUGGGCUCUUCUGAAGUCACAGCCAGCCUGCCUCUGAUCAGAUGAACCGACCUGCUUAAAAGAAGACUUCAAAAGCUGAAGCACAGGAACCCCAGGACAGAUGAAUAUUGCUACCCUGUAUUUGCAGGUACUCCUGGCUCUGCUCUGUGUUUGGUUCUUGCAGGCAGCUCCCGUUUAUAACCACCCAGCUAUUGUAGGAACCAUCCUGUGGCCACCUGCUCUCCCCAGGUGUCAGCUUGUACUGCAGUCACUACCCAAAUCUUGCUGUGGAUCUGGGCUUUGGUGACCAUUCUCAGGUAAUUCCAGGAAAUUGCCAUCAUGAGCCUCUUCACAGCCGGUAGCUAAAUGGCACUGCUUUACAGCAAUACUGAGCAGUGCUGCAGUUUUGUGAGUGUGGCUCAAGGCUGGCUGCAGUACACCACAGCUUUGUGCUGCCUUCCAGUUGGUUGUUGAUUUUUCCAGGACUGUCCUUUUUUUGGCAAUUUCUGUGUCAGUCUAUUCCUCUGGAGGACUCAUGAAGCUCUAGCAGUGUACAAACCUGACUUUGCAAAAAACUGUGACGUUCCUGCAGUUUGUUUGCCUGCCAGUGGAUCUGCAUCACUUUAUCCAUUUCAUUUGUUCUGAAUUUCCCUUCUAAGAAAAAAAUCAAGAAACAGGAGAUGCCUGGGGGAAUGCUCUUGUCUUUUCCUCUGUCUGGCUCACAGAGCUG